rnacentral:rRNA from 1 species
CAGCUGAUGGAGCACACCGCGUGAGUGAAGAAGGGUUUCGGCUCGUAAAGCUCUGUUGUUGGAGAAGAACGUGCGUGAGAGUAACUGUUCACGCAGUGACGGUAUCCAACCAGAAAGUCACGGCUAACUACGUGCCAGCAGCCGCGGUAAUACGUAGGUGGCAAGCGUUAUCCGGAUUUAUUGGGCGUAAAGCGAGCGCAGGCGGUUGCUUAGGUCUGAUGUGAAAGCCUUCGGCUUAACCGAAGAAGUGCAUCGGAAACCGGGCGACUUGAGUGCAGAAGAGGACAGUGGAACUCCAUGUGUAGCGGUGGAAUGCGUAGAUAUAUGGAAGAACACCAGUGGCGAAGGCGGCUGUCUGGUCUGCAACUGACGCUGAGGCUCGAAAGCAUGGGUAGCGAACAGGAUUAGAUACC